UCGGGAAUUUUGCUCAAUGGGCGAAAGCCUGAAGCAGCAACGCCGCGUGAGGGAUGAAGGCCUUCGGGUUGUAAACCUCUUUUCCCAGGGACGAUAAUGACGGUACCUGGGGAAUAAGCCACGGCUAACUACGUGCCAGCAGCCGCGGUAAUACGUAGGUGGCAAGCGUUGUCCGGAUUUACUGGGCGUAAAGAGCGCGCAGGCGGCCGAGUCAGUCGAAUGUGAAAGCCCCCGGCUCAACUGGGGAGGGUCAUUCGAUACUGCUCGGCUUGAAGAUGGGAGAGGGAAGCGGAAUUUCAGGUGUAGUGGUGAAAUGCGUAGAUAUCUGAAGGAACACCAGUGGCGAAGGCGGCUUUCUGGCCCAUUCUUGACGCUGAGGCGCGAAAGCUAGGGGAGCAAACGGG
rnacentral:rRNA from 1 species